rnacentral:rRNA from 1 species
CCCCAGACUCCUACGGGAGGCAGCAGUGGGGAAUAUUGCACAAUGGGGGAAACCCUGAUGCAGCGACGCCGCGUGAGUGAAGAAGUAUUUCGGUAUGUAAAGCUCUAUCAGCAGGGAAGAAAAUGACGGUACCUGACUAAGAAGCCCCGGCUAACUACGUGCCAGCAGCCGCGGUAAUACGUAGGGGGCAAGCGUUAUCCGGAUUUACUGGGUGUAAAGGGAGCGUAGACGGCAUGGCAAGUCAGAUGUGAAAGCCCGGGGCUCAACCCCGGGACUGCAUUUGAAGCUGUCAGGCUGGAGUGCAGGAGAGGUAAGUGGAAUUCCUAGUGUAGCGGUGAAAUGCGUAGAUAUUAGGAGGAACACCAGUGGCGAAGGCGGCUUACUGGACUGUAACUGACGUUGAGGCUCGAAAGCGUGGGGAGCAAACAGGAUUAGAUACCCCGGUAC